UGCUGCUGUCGCUUGGCUGUGCUCACAAUUAAACUGCUUAAAUCAGCGCUGUUGGGGGGGAGCAAGGACUGCUGAGGGCAGAGCCCCCACCACGGGCAGCUCAGGUUCUGGGGGUGCUGGGAGUGCAAAAGCUGUUCUGCUGAAAGCAGGAAAAAUACUUGUUGAGUGAUGCUGAUUUCUUUGUGCGAUGAUGAAGAUUUGCUUCUUUGAAAAGCCUCUUGUGAAAUAAGAAGUUAACUUGGCUUUUCUGAAGCAGGGAAGAAAUGUCUGGCUUUCCCCUCUUUCCAUGUGGGGUAGCCUGGGCAACAGCAAACUGUGUGCUCCCUUCCAGCUGAAAUCAUGCUUGUGCUUCAGGAGCAAAAACCAACUGUUGAGAUGGAGGAAGGAGAGCAGGAGAACGUAAAGCAGUGGCAUUGGAAGGAAGCAUUCAGGGCAGCAGACCAAGAAGAUUUGGGCUGCAUGGCUGUGCUUUACUUGGCAGGGUUAGAGCAGCAGCUUCCAGUGGAAAUAUACUUUGUUCCUGUGUAGCUUAAAUCUUUUCUGGAGGAAGAAACCACAUCAGCUCACACAUCCUUUAUGCCUGCAGGAGCUGUGAUGCACGUAGCUGCAGUCCCUGCCCCAUCACAGUGCUGCAGAGCUGCACUGUUACUCUCUUUGACCUUUACAGAGUCAGAGAAAACUGCUCCAGCUCCUUUUAAAUGCCCUCUCCUGCUGCUGCCAUGCUCCCCACCACACUGGUUGCCCUGGGCAGUCCCUAUCCUUUUUCCCACCUGGGAAGGUCACAUGGAUACAGAAUGGGGACUGCUGGAGAGUAUGCAAGCAGCCCAGGUCC